UUGCUUCGGCAGCUGACAUACUAAAAUUGGAAGGAUACAGAGCAGCUUAGCAUGGCCCCUACUCAAGGGUGACACACAAAUUUGUGAAGUGUUCUAUAAUUUU